rnacentral:tRNA from 1 species
AAGGGAGACCUAAUUCGGGUAGGAGACGAAAAAAAAGUAGUCCCUACCAAGAAUCAAUCCCAAAAGGUCGGAACGAGGUAUGAGGCUUUUAAACUAGGUUCUGGGUUCAUAAAAGACCUGAAUCAGGAACAAGGGCUAUUAGCUCAGGUGGUUAGAGCGCACCCCUGAUAAGGGUGAGGUCCCUGGUUCGAGUCCAGGAUGGCCCACCUGCACAGGUGGCAAAAACAAGAGAAGCUCCGAAUCAGCACCUUAUCUUAUAUACAUAUAUAAGAGAGAAUGCUGGCUCUGAGUACAGAGUCCAGAGGAACCUUGAAAACUGCAUAGAGCUAGGUGAAAAAGCCAAAAAAGAAGACCGCAA